GAUGAACGCUGGCGGCGUGCCUAAUACAUGCAAGUCGAGCGAACAGACGAGGAGCUUGCUCCUCUGACGUUAGCGGCGGACGGGUGAGUAACACGUGGAUAACCUACCUAUAAGACUGGGAUAACUUCGGGAAACCGGAGCUAAUACCGGAUAAUAUAUUGAACCGCAUGGUUCAAUAGUGAAAGACGGUUUUGCUGUCACUUAUAGAUGGAUCCGCGCCGCAUUAGCUAGUUGGUAAGGUAAAGGCUUACCAAGGCAACGAUGCGUAGCCGACCUGAGAGCGUGAUCGGCCACACUGGAACUGAAACACGGACCAGACUCCUACGGGAGGCAGCAGUAGGGAAUCUGCCGCAAUGGGCGAAGGCCUGACGGAGCAACGCCGCGUGAGUGAUGAAGGUCUUCGGAUCGUAAAACUCUGUUAUUAGGGAAGAACAAAUGUGUAAGUAACUAUGCACGUCUUGACGGUACCUAAUCAGAAAGCAACGGCUAACUACGUG
rnacentral:rRNA from 1 species